rnacentral:piRNA from 1 species
UGUGGAAUUAGAGUACUUGGAGAUGUCC